rnacentral:miRNA from 1 species
GUGGCACUCAAACUGUGGGGGCACUUUCUGCUCUAUUGUGAAAGUGCCGCCA